CAAGAGUGCAUAACCAAGGAACGAAGCAAGCAGUACACGGUGCUGUACCUUUGCUACUCAGUGGAGUAGGCGGCAGGGUUGAUGGAGAAGACGGUACAAUCCUAGAGGCGACCAAACCUAUGAGAGAAGAUUACUCCAAGUUGGGGUGAAAACUUCCUGCAUUCCAGAAGUUCGAUGGCAUUGAGAAGGUGAAUCACAGUAACUAACUCAACGCAAGGAGUGCAAACAC
rnacentral:lncRNA from 1 species